GGGAAUCUACCCUGAACUGCGGAAUAGCUCCGGGAAACUGGAAUUAAUACCGCAUGUGCCCUGAGGGGCAAAGAUUUAUCGGUUCAGGAUGAGCCCGCGUCGGAUUAGCUAGUUGGUGGGGUAAUGGCCUACCAAGGCGACGAUCCGUAGCUGGUCUAAGAGGAUGAUCAGCCACAUUGGGACUGAGGCACGGCCCAAACUCCUACGGGAGGCAGCAGUGGGGAAUAUUGGACAAUGGGCGCAAGCCUGAUCCAGCCAUGCCGCGUGAGUGAUGAAGGCCCUAGGGUUGUAAAGCUCUUUCAGUGGGGACGAUAAUGACGGUACCCACAGAAGAAGCCCCGGCUAACUUCGUGCCAGCAGCCGCGGUAAUACGAAGGGGGCUAGCGUUGUUCGGAAUUACUGGGCGUAAAGCGCACGUAGGCGGAUAUUUAAGUCAGGGGUGAAAUCCCGGGGCUCAACCCCGGAACUGCCUUUGAUACUGGAUGUCUUGAGUCCGGAAGAGGUGAGUGGAAUUGCGAGU
rnacentral:rRNA from 1 species